rnacentral:ncRNA from 1 species
AGUUUAUCCUCAGAUGUUUUAGAUGUUUUAGCCAGUCCGCAAGUUUCUCUGCCUUAUUCCCUUUCCUUUUCCCUUUGGGAAGGGAAAGGGGUUAGAGAGCAUCUAUCAGCGUUAAGUUGCUGGCCCAGCCCUAAUCUCUGACAUUUAAAUUGACACCCAGCUUGGGGCUUGACUAGGCUCUGAUGGAUCUGAGAAAAUGGGAGCGUUCAAAGCAGGACGGCCACUGGUAAACUUGAGCUAGGAAUAAUGGACUAAGACCCUGUUUCUUUUAUUUUGGUUAUUGGAAACUGGGCCUUGAGUAAGAGAGAUGGCUGAGCUCAUUCAUAUUGUGCUGCUAGAGGUGAAAUUCUGGGACCGGCACGAGAUAGCCUGCAGUGAAAGUAUUUUUCAGGAGUGCUUUAAUAAA